GAUGAACGCUAGCUACAGGCUUAACACAUGCAAGUCGAGGGGCAGCAUGGUCUUAGCUUGCUAAGGCCGAUGGCGACCGGCGCACGGGUGAGUAACACGUAUCCAACCUGCCGUCUACUCUUGGACAGCCUUCUGAAAGGAAGAUUAAUACAAGAUGGCAUCAUGAGUCCGCAUGUUCACAUGAUUAAAGGUAUUCCGGUAGACGAUGGGGAUGCGUUCCAUUAGAUAGUAGGCGGGGUAACGGCCCACCUAGUCUUCGAUGGAUAGGGGUUCUGAGAGGAAGGUCCCCCACAUUGGAACUGAGACACGGUCCAACUCCUACGGGAGGCAGCAGUGAGGAAUAUUGGUCAAUGGGCGAGAGCCUGAACCAGCCAAGUAGCGUGAAGGAUGACUGCCCUAUGGGUUGUAAACUUCUUUUAUAAAGGAAUAAAGUCGGGUAUGGAUACCCGUUUGCAUGUACUUUAUGAAUAAGGAUCGGCUAACUCCGUG
rnacentral:rRNA from 1 species